GAUGAACGCUGGCGGCGUGCCUAAUACAUGCAAGUCGAGCGAAGCGGGGACGGGUGAGUAACACGUGGAUAACCUCCUAUAAGACUGGGAUAACUUCGGGAAACCGGAGCUAAACCGGAAACUUAUAGAUGGAUCCGCGUGGCAUUAGCUAGUUGGUAAGGGACCGGCUUACCAAGGCAACGAUGCAUAGCCGACCUGGGAGGGUGAUCGGCCACACUGGAACUGAGACACGGUCCAGACUCCUACGGUAGGCAGCAGUAGGGAAUCUUCCGCAAUGGGCGAAAGCCUGACGGAGCAACGCCGCGUGAGUGAUGAAGGUCUUCGGAUCGUAAAACUCUGUUAUUAGGGAAGCGGUACCUAAUCAGAAAGCCACGGCUAACUACGUGCCAGCCGCCGCGGUAAUUC
rnacentral:rRNA from 1 species